GAGGCUGCAGCAACCAAGGACUUGUCUCUCUCAGACCUUCAGCUCACUUCCCUAGCUCACAUAAGCAAGCAUUAGCUCCCUGGUUAUACCAGGAUCCAAGGUCCAUGAACGGCGGGCAACACCUUCAUUGAUUCAAUCCGGUAUCUGCCCUGUUUUACAAGGUUACACCAAGUGGAAGACAACGCUAUUUCCCACCAAGCUUGUCAUUUCAACAAUGCAUUUUAAACAACCUGCUAUGUAGUGCAAGAGGUGGCUUCAGCAGUGCAGUCACUCAGAGUGGCUGUAAACCUGACGUAA